CAGACUCCAUGCGGGGCGCUGAGUGCGCCACGCCGGGCCGGAAAGCUGCCGCCUCAGGGCAGCGCGCAGCCCACCCCCGGUGUCUCGGGAGGCCGUGGCCGCCCUGCCUGCCUGGGCCCGGGAGCCGGGGCGCCGCUGAGCCGGCACCGAUUUCCUUUUCCGUGCAGGACGGAGCCCCAAGCUGGGGGACCCCACUGCUGGCCGAGCUGGUUCGUCAGCCGCCGGGUCCUGGUGGUUGGGACUCUAGCCAGCCCCGCGCGACGCGACGCGACGCGUAUUUUAAAACAUUGUCCCCCAUUUAUCCAGCUAAAUGUUCCGAGUUGGGCAACCCCCAGCCUCAGCAUUUCCUGACAGACAUGUUCCCAGCUGCAGGAAGUUAGGGGGCGGAGGACAGACAGUGAGCUGCUGAUAGAAAACCAGGGGGUCUCAACCUUCCCUGCAGUGCGGCUCCCCGUCUGACAACAAAAGCUACUAGGGGACAAACCCUGAACCCCACUGCCCCAUGCAGCUACACGUGGGCCAGGCUUCAGCCUCGGGUGGGGGGCCUGUAACCUGAGCCCCACCACCCUGAGCGGUGGGGCAUGGGCUUCAGCCCCAGGUCCCAGCAAAUCUAAUGCCAGCCCCGGUGACCCUGGGCCCAGGGUUUGAGAACUGCUGUAGUAGACAUUAGAUGAUUCAAAAAGUUUAAAAUUUACAACUGUUAAAUGAUCAAUGUCACGUCAAAAUAUACAAAGUAUGUAUCUUUAAAAUCAAGUAAGUUCUCGAGCAGCAUUUUUCUUUCUUUGCCUUCCCAUAGAUGAUGAUCAUCAAUAGCAAUAUUUUCUCUUGUGUUCGUAUGUGUACUGUGAAAUUGAUGUUUACCAACGUUCGCCCAUAAAAACCAAAUCCUUCCAAGCCUACAUGCGGGGUUUGAUGGAGCAAGCCACAGAAAAAUGACUCUGAUAAGGAAGCAAAGGGAAUCUGCAAGACUAGGCACACACUGCUCCCUAGCUGCGCAGGUACAUCAUGUCAGGAACCUGCAGCAACCAGCAGAAAGGUAUACUUCAAGUAUUUCUGCAUGUGAAUAAGACCUUCCAAAUGAUAAUCAAGUGGUAA